CUUCGGGUGAGUGGCAGACGGGUGAGUAACGCGUGGGAUCCUGGCCUGUGGUACGGAAUAACUCUGGGAAAUCGGAGCUAGUACCGUAUACGCCCUACGGGGGAGAGAUUAUCGCCAUGGGAUGGGCCCGCGUCAGAUUAGCUUGUUGGUGGGGUAACGGCCUACCAAGGCUACGAUCUGUAGCUGGUCUGAGAGGAUGAUCAGCCACACUGGGACUGAUACACGGUCCAGACUCCUACGGGAUGCAGCAGUGGGGAAUCUUGGACAAUGGGCGAAAGCCUGAUCCAGCCAUGCCGCGUGAGUGAAGAAGGCCCUAGGGUUGUAAAGCUCUUUCAGCGGGGAAGAUAAUGACGGUACCCGCAGAAGAAGCCCCGGCUAACUUCGUGCCAGCAGCCGCGGUAAUACGAAGGGGGCUAGCGUUGUUCGGAAUUACUGGGCGUAAAGCGCGCGUAGGCGGACUGGCCAGUCAGGGGUGAAAGCCCGGGGCUUAACCUCGGAACUGCCCUUGAUACUGCCAGUCUAGAGUCCGGCAGAGGUGAGUGGAAUUCCUAGUGUAGAGGUGAAAUUCGUAGAUAUUAGGAAGAACACCAGUGGCGAAGGCGGCUCACCUGGGCCGAGACUGACGCUGAGGCGCGAAAGCGUGGGGAGCCAACAGGAUUAGAUACCCUGGUAGUCCACGCCGUAAACGAUGGAUGCUAGCCGUUGGG
rnacentral:rRNA from 1 species